rnacentral:piRNA from 1 species
UGUCUUUCAUGAGUCCUCAAACGAUUUGC